CUCCAGGAAUUCGCAGUGACGUA
rnacentral:siRNA from 1 species